GAGUGGUGUGAUAAACUCCUAUAUGGAGAAAUAGCGCUUUGCACGCUCUGCGUGUGUCUUCUCACUCUGCUGCUGUGUCACUGUCUCCAGCACAAGCACAAAGGUUCAGAACCGUCAUUGACAGAAGUUUCACCAACUUGCAGAGAUAUCACCUAUGCUGAGCUGGAUAUCAAGAGAAAACCCAGGACAGAGAGAAAACAAAGACAGGCCCAGAACCAGCAGGAAGACAGUAUGGUGUACAGUCAAGUGAGAUGCAAACAUGACUGAAGGAGAGUACAGCGAAGGUGAAGGGUAAAUUCAGACACCUGCAGAUAAAGAGAUACAGACCCACUGAUACUGCAGGAGCUCCCUGUGGAGAAACGGACAGAGAGGCAAACAAAGACAGCCAAAUCUGUACAGUCAUUUGUUGUUAAAAUUCAAUGUUUAUGCCUCCAAUUAUGAACUUGCAGUGUUUGUAAUUUUUACCAAUUAUUCUCAUUUUGGGGAAACAUUAAAAGAAAAAUAUGAAUUACUAAUAAUAAUAAAGAUUUAUUUCAUGUUUUAUUUUCUGCAGCAAACCAAAAUAAUACAAUUAACAUGUUACUUGUCACAAUGUUGCAUUAUUUUACUUGUCAUAAUUUGCAUUGCAUGAGAAAUGUGCAAACUGUGCUGAAUUCAUCUGGACUGUUUGGCCCUUUUUUCUU